AACGAACGCUGGCGGCAUGCCUAACACAUGCAAGUCGAACAAGACCUUCGGGUCUAGUGGCGCACGGGUACGUAACGCGUGGGAACCUGCCCUUAGGUUCGGAAUAACUCCCCGAAAGGGGUGCUAAUACCGGAUAAUGUCUUCGGACCAAAGAUUUAUCGCCUUUGGAUGGGCCCGCGUUGGAUUAGCUAGUUGGUAGGGUAAAAGCCUACCAAGGCGACGAUCCAUAGCUGGUCUGAGAGGAUGAUCAGCCACACUGGGACUGAGACACGGCCCAGACUCCUACGGGAGGCAGCAGUGGGGAAUAUUGGACAAUGGGCGAAAGCCUGAUCCAGCAAUGCCGCGUGAGUGAUGAAGGCCUUAGGGUUGUAAAGCUCUUUUACCCGGGAUGAUAAUGACAGUACCGGGAGAAUAAGCUCCGGCUAACCCCGUG
rnacentral:rRNA from 1 species